GCCACCGCUCCGCCUCCUCUUUUCGCAACAUUGACGCAAUGUAUAAAUGCUGGAACAAAAGGACAACUUCCUUGAAGCUUGGCGUAUAAUUGCAAAAAAAGAGAGCGAAAGAGAGAGAGAGCGAGAGCGAGAGAGAGAGAGAGAGAGAGAGAGAAAGCGCGAGAGAGAGCGCGAGAGAGAUACAGCCGACUCGACUGGCGCGCGCUAACCGGAGACCGGUGUGCCAGUUUGCUGGAAUAUUAUUUCUGAUUUUCGGCUCUCCGUGCACGUUACGAUGUGAUGGGUAGCCUAUAAGCGCUGCUUUCCAGGUUUCCACCGCUGAAAACAAUUAAAGUUCUUCACAGUUACACACCCAAUACCUGCCAAAUACAGCAACAUCUCUGAACCAUGCCAUGGUGAUCCAUCCGCUUUAUAAGGCUCAUUGAUAAGAAUAUUUCGAGUCUCCCUUCUCUCAAAAGUGUAACACUCAAUUUUCUCUUCUGGAGAAAGCGUGCGGGUGCUGAUCAGGCGAAAGCCCUACUUCAGGAUGGUGUCCACCAUCAGGCCAAGAACAUUUGUGGCAUUGAGGAGUUUUCGUUCAUCUGGCUCAAUGGUGACAUAUCUGUAAAAAUAAAAUAAUACAUAAACAUAAAACGUAGAUGGGAAAACAGAUGCUAUCAGUCAUCAGCGACUUGAUUAACUUUAUUGAAACAUCAAAUACAAAUAAAUAAAGUGCUGAAUUCUGUCAUAUAUUUAUUGAAGUAAAAUAUAUACCAAUGUGUAAUGCAACAUUAUAGAAGACUGUAUGCAAUGCUAGUUUACAUUUUCUCGCCUCACCUUGCAG